CGGGGAGGCGGUGGCCCGGACGGCUCGUGCGCGCCGUCGCCGCGCUCGAGGACCUCCGCCUCGCGGUCUUGCACCUCGCCGUCACCUCCGUCGGACAUGACGCCGUCGUGUACUGCUUCAACCUCAAGAUGGAGGAAGGGUGCGAGGUGGCGACGGCGGAUGAGGUGGCGACGGUGGUGCACCAGAUCUUCGCCUACGCCGCCGGCGCAUGCUGCUGACGACGACGGCAGCCGAGGAGGACGGGGACGGUAAGUCAAAACCACGGAGGCCGGGCGGGCAGGCAUGUGUCAUGUACACGACGAACGCGGGCGCAGAGGAGAGGACGACGGGCGGCCACGCCACCAGCUGAGGAGGAGGACAUGCGUACGUAGAGGUAGAGCAGGGGCAGCAGCGCUAGGGGACCAAGCAAGCUUGGCAGGUGCGGCCAUGGCAACGGCUGCGCUGCAUGCAGUGGUCCAUGCGUGCAGCGCAGAGACGAACAGGUGACCUCUACGGUAAAAUUGACUGUUGUUGUUACUUGGCUGGCAGGAUGAGAAGAAGGCUGAUGAGAGUGGUACAACAGUGUUGGGGUGGCAGGGCUAGCUGUAGACCUGUAGGUUUUUCUUUACCCCUUUUCUUUGGAGAGCCAUGCAUCCGUGCGUGCGUGUGUGUGUACGGUUUUAUAUAUAUAUACCACGCACAGUAUCGUGUGUAGUAGUUCCGUGUU